rnacentral:rRNA from 1 species
GUGAACGCUGGCGGUAGGCCUAACCCAUGCAAGUCGAACGGCAGCACAGUAAGAGCUUGCUCUUACGGGUGGCGAGUGGCGGACGGGUGAGGAAUACAUCGGAAUCUACUUUUUCGUGGGGGAUAACGUAGGGAAACUUACGCUAAUACCUCAUACGACCUACGGGUGAAAGCAGGGGAUCUUCGGACCUUGCGCGAUUGAAUGAGCCGAUGUCGGAUUAGCUAGUUGGCGGGGUAAAGGCCCACCAAGGCGACGAUCCGUAGCUGGUCUGAGAGGAUGAUCAGCCACACUGGAACUGAGACACGGUCCAGACUCCUACGGGAGGCAGCAGUGGGGAAUAUUGGACAAUGGGCGCAAGCCUGAUCCAGCCAUACCGCGUGGGUGAAGAAGGCCUUCGGGUUGUAAAGCCCUUUUGUUGGGAAAGAAAAGCAGCAGGUUAAUACCCCGCUGUUCUGACGGUACCCAAAGAAUAAGCACCGGCUAACUUCGUG